UCUUUGUACUCGUAGUUGGUGCACAUGAAAUAAAACCAAGGUAAAAAAAAACUGCCUUCGAAAAUAUUCCCAUAGAAAGGCAGUUUCUCUGUUCUACUUUUGAAACCCCCCAGGCAAAAUUCACAAGCACUUCUCUUGAAUUCCAUCUUUUUAUAUUCAUCAUUAUAACAUCUCAGAAGACAUAUUUUGAUGGUUUCUUGUGGUUGAAGGUUUUCUUGAUGUUCUGCUUACUCGAACGCCCUCUUUUUUUUAGAUAAGAAACCAAGUGAGAAACGUUGGACAAAAUAUGCUGAGAGUUUUUUUUGUUUGUCAAUUCUUCUCACACACUAAUGGUUCACGCAGAUCAGUGAACCCUUCCCAAACACUGUUUAAAGAAAACAGGUCCGACAAGUACGUUUUGGGCCCAAACCAUCAAUUAGGGGUCAGCAAAAAUAUUGGCGACAAAACAACACAGUAGCAUGCAAAUACAGUCAAUCUUAAAUGGCGUGUAUGUAUUUAUGUAUGUAUUUAUGUAUGUAUGUGUGUGUGUGUUUAUGAUAACUUCAUAUGAGUCCACACUUCCCGGGUGCUAAAGAAUCUUAGUUUGAGCAGGUUUCGAAAAAGAUACACAUCUCAGUACAUACAAAAUGGUUUCUCCCUCAAUCUGUAUGUUGCCUUGAGGAUUAAAAUCAUACUGCGUAGAAAGGGGCAAAUAAGUGGUCGGUCAAAACAACAACAGCAAGCACUGAAAUGCCUAAUUGGUUUAAGAAAUCGCCCGACGCUGGAAAUAGCGCCUUCUAUAGUGAGGCUAUGUACGGCAUGUAUUUCGGACCAAACGAUGAGCCGCCGCCAUCCACGACUACCACAAUAUGUACAAUGGUUAUCCUGUGCGCCUCCAUCGUGUUCCUCAUCGUCUUCGCCAUUGUUGUGAACUAAAUGUGUGAUAGGAGGAGGAAGCAGAGCGGUAAGAAGAAAUGGAGAUGACAUCCAUUGGACACAAAGUACAAUGACAUGCGCACUUCAUUCGUACAACAUGGUCGACACAUCCGGCUUCAUCAACACCAUCGAAGCGUUACUAGUCAACAGCUUCAGGCACCAUCUGAGGCCACUCUGAUAAGAAAUGUAUAACUACUAUGGGCACUGUUCGUAGGAUUUAUCUUGGGUGUGUUGAUAGCAUAAUAAGUUUAUUGUAGCUGUGGUGUGGUUUGUGGCAUCGAGCUAAAUUUGUGGAAUAGCAAAGUAGCUAUUAUAAACACGUUUUUGUGUGAUUUAACGUAAGUGUGUGGUGCUCUGAAUGCAUAUGAAGCAUAAGAGGAAUUACCUGUAGUUUCCUUUCUAAAUCCCUUUGUGUAAUUAUUUGAUGUCGUGAUACGUUCGAAAUCUAUACCGAACUGACCUGUAUGGCUAACACAUAAUAUCGCCUGAUAUCGCUUGUUACGACAUCGUUGCGUAUCCUUAUUAACAUACCUUAAGCUGUUGAUCCAAAAUGGGAAGCAUCAACAUUACAUGGAUUAGGUCAAUGACAAUUUUUAUGUGUCACAGACAGACAUAUGCAUGUUAAAUGAUUUACCAUGCACAGUUUAAAACCUUCAGUGCACUAAAUAGAUUUAAGAUUUCUCAAGAGAUGAACUCAAGAUAUCAGUAUAGCAACUUGAUUUCUGUCGAAAACACUAGCAAGAAGCAUUGACCGGACCCAGGCUUUGCCUAUCGGACUGACUGUCUGAAGCUGAAACACUUGUUAGAUGACGUUACGGCGGAUGCUCAAGAACACAAGACAUUUCAAAAACUCUUACAUAUUUGCAGACGAAGGAACGCAGGACUUUCGUGGAUUCAUCGGUGGUAGUGAUUCUUCUAUCGUUCUUUGUGUAUUUUUUUUACAUUUCAUUAAUAAACAACUACAAAAAAUCGUU